rnacentral:rRNA from 1 species
CCUACGGUAGGCAGCAGUGGGGAAUAUUGGACAAUGGGGGGAACCCUGAUCCAGCGACGCCGCGUGAGUGAAGAAGUAUUUCGGUAUGUAAAGCUCUAUCAGCAGGGAAGAAAGAAAUGACGGUACCUGACUAAGAAGCCCCGGCUAACUACGUGCCAGCAGCCGCGGUAAUACGUAGGGGGCAAGCGUUAUCCGGAUUUACUGGGUGUAAAGGGAGCGUAGACGGCGAUGCAAGUCUGAAGUGAAAGGCGGGGGCGCAACCUCCGGACUGCUUUGGAAACUGUAUGGCUGGAGUGCAGGAGAGGUAAGUGGAAUUCCUAGGGGAGCGGUGAAAUGCGUAGAUAUUAGGAGGAACACCAGUGGCGAAGGCGGCUUACUGGACUGUAACUGACGUUGAGGCUCGAAAGCGUGGGGAGCAAACAGGAUUAGAUACCCGGGUAGUC